AUCGCGAGAGUUCACCUGCGAGCAGCGCGAUUUACAACGCGAUGCAGGUGCUUCUUAUGAAGUGUGGGAACCGGGAAGUUCUUGUGCAUGAAGCAAGACUUUAAGUUUAAAGUCACAGUGGAGCCACUGAGCAGUGAGACUAAGCGUACUCGUCAGGCUUACAUCUGAAGACCAAACAUCUGUGGUGAAGUUCAUCGCGGUGUGGUUAUGAAGAAGCUCGUGAAUAUGAUCUGUCAUACGGUUGUAUAACUCCGUGCAAGGUGAUGUGAUGUUGAUUCUCAAGAUUGUCUUCACUAUACAGGGUCCCUGGGAACCUGGAGCCUAUCCCAGGAAGCAUCGUGCACAAGGCGGGGUACAAAACAAAUGAAGUAAAUCUCUUUUGGAAGAAUAAUGCUUCAGUACAGUUCUAGAGACUUUUAAAAUCUACACCAAGGUGUACUGAAAAUGUUUUUGGCAAUGUUCUACUAAGACACUUUAUAUUGGUUUUUGCUUUAAUUUGUCACCCAUCUGUUAUUAUGUUAUAUAUAAAUAUUCACAACAGUAAGAUUUAAAAGCAAGGCAAUUGUUAUAAGUGCUGUCUUUGCUUGAUAGGCCAUACUUGCCUGUAGUGCAGCCAUUAGCAUCCUUUUAGCAUGUCUCCACGUGUCUUGCAGUGCUUCUUUAAAGCUGUCUGUCAUGAG
ensembl:lncRNA